UGGGGAAUUUUGGACAAUGGGGGAAACCCUGAUCCAGCAAUGCCGCGUGUGUGAAGAAGGCCUUCGGGUUGUAAAGCACUUUUGGCAGGAGCGAAACGGCUUGGGCUAAUACCUCGGGCUAAUGACGGUACCUGCAGAAUAAGCACCGGCUAACUACGUGCCAGCAGCCGCGGUAAUACGUAGGGUGCAAGCGUUAAUCGGAAUUACUGGGCGUAAAGCGAGCGCAGGCGGUUAUGUAAGACAGAUGUGAAAUCCCCGGGCUUAACCUGGGAACUGCAUUUGUGACUGCAUGGCUAGAGUGCGUCAGAGGGGGGUGGAAUUCCACGUGUAGCAGUGAAAUGCGUAGAGAUGUGGAGGAACACCGAUGGCGAAGGCAGCCCCCUGGGAUGACACUGACGCUCAUGCUCGAAAGCGUGGGGAGCAAACAGG
rnacentral:rRNA from 1 species